AUAUCAGUAAGCGGAGGAAAGGAAACUAACAAGGAUUGCCUCAGUAGCGGCGAGUGAACAGGCAACAGCUCAAAAUGUAAAUCUGAAGCACAGAGUUUCAGAAUUGUAAUCUAUAGGCCUUUUAGGGAAGUCAUGGUUCCUAGCAUAAGUUCUCUGAAAAGGGAUGUCAUAGAGGGUAAAAACUUCGUGUUUGGCUAGGACUGGAUGUACCGAAGGGUUCCAAGAGUCGGGUUGUUUGGGACUGCAGCCCUAAAUGGGAGAUAAACUUCUUCUAAAGCUAAAUAUUUAUGGGAGACCGAUAGCGCACAAGUA
rnacentral:rRNA from 1 species